UGGCACUUGCCAAAAAUGAAACCGAAACGGCAGAGAUUAGUAAAUCAUUGAAAGUCUUUGAGGUAAUAAGAAA
rnacentral:sRNA from 12 species